rnacentral:rRNA from 1 species
AUACGUAGGGAGCGAGCGUUGUCCGGAUUUACUGGGUGUAAAGGGUGCGUAGGCGGCAAUGCAAGUCAGAUGUGAAAACUAUGGGCUUAACUCAUAGAUUGCAUUUGAAACUGUGUUGCUUGAGUGAAGUAGAGGCAGGCGGAAUUCCCGGUGUAGCGGUGAAAUGCGUAGAGAUCGGGAGGAACACCAGUGGCGAAGGCGGCCUGCUGGGCUUUAACUGACGCUGAGGCACGAAAGCAUGGGUAGCAAACAGGAUUAGAUACCCUGGUAGUCCAUGCCGUAAACGAUGAUUACUAGGUGUGGGGGGUCUGACCCCUUCCGUGCCGGAGUUAACACAAUAAGUAAUCCACCUGGGGAGUACGACCGCAAGGUUGA